CACUACUCUGGUGGACAGGCCGUGCCCCAAAUGACAGCAUCUGGCCAAUGGAGCAACAGGGCUGAAUUCAGACCACCCUCUGCUUCGCAAGUCCUGAGUCCUUGUGGACUGUUCCAGAAAAUGGGGAUGCCUUCUGUUCAUCUGGAGAAGCUGAUGAAAAGCAGAUUCCAGCUCUGCCCCUGUUGAGUCUAUAAAGUAUCUGGGGAGAGUGGCAGCUGUCUAAAUCCCCGUCUCACCACAAUACAAAACAAGAACCCACAAAACUACACAAACCCAGACACUGGCAUAAUGAGAAGACAAUUAAUGCACAAACUUCAAGUUGCUUUUAAGUUUAAAAAGAUAAA